rnacentral:rRNA from 1 species
CAAGUCGAGCGGAGUUUUUAAAUGCUUGCUUUUAAAAACUCAGCGGCGGACGGGUGAGUAACACGUGGGCAACCUGCCCUGUAGACUGGGAUAACUUCGGGAAACCGAAGCUAAUACCGGAUAAUCAUAGAAGUUGCAUAGCUUCUAUGUAAAAGUUGGGUUUACCUAACACUACAGGAUGGGCCCGCGUCGCAUCAGCUAGUGGUAAGGUAACGGCUUACCAAGGCGACGAUGCGUAGCCGACCUGAGAGGGUGAUCGGCCACCUGGGAGUGAGACACGGCCCAGACUCAUACGGGAGGCAGCAGUAGGGAAUCUUCCGCAAUGGACGAAAGUCUGACGGAGCAACGCCG